rnacentral:tRNA from 1 species
GGUGGGGUAGCUGAGUGGUUAAGGCAUUUGUCUACAAUUCUGAAGUCACAGCUUCAAGUAUUGCUCCCUCUG